CCUACGGGAGGCUGCAGUGAGGAAUAUUGGUCAAUGGCCGGAAGGCUGAACCAGCCAUGCCGCGUGAAGGUCAGUGCCCUAUGGGCGUUAAACUUCUUUUGUGCGGGAGCAAUAAUGGUCACGUGUGGCCAGACGAGAGUACCGUACGAUUCAGCAUCGGCUAACUCCGUCCCAGCAGCCGCGGUAAUACUGGGGAUGCAAGCGUUAUCCGGCUUUAUUGGGUUUAAAGGGUGCGUAGGCUGGGAGGUAAGUCAGCGGGGAAAUGCCCCCGCUCAACGGGGUGAAGUGCCAUUGAUACUGCCUUGCUGGAAUGCGGAUGCCGUGGGAGGAAUGUGUGGUGUAGCGGUGAAAUGCAUAGAUAUCACACAGAACACCGAUUGCGAAGGCAUCUCACGAAUCCGCGAUUGACGCUGAUGCACGAAAGCGUGGGUAUCAAACAGGAUUAGAUACCCGUGUAGUC
rnacentral:rRNA from 1 species